rnacentral:lncRNA from 1 species
AGCUGUGGGAACAUUCCUACAAAGCUGAUUCUCUUCCGAUUCUGCUGGAAUCCUGAGUCUCUCUCAAACUGGAAUUAUCUUAACAAUUCUUUUGCUUGAGGUUUCCUGGACGGCAUAUGUGGAUAAUGGUCUCACUCUGUCAUCCAGGCUGGAGUACAGUGGCAUGAUCCUAGCUCACUGUAGAUUCGAAAUCCUGUUCCAGUGGUCCUCCCACCUCAACCUCCUGAUCAACUGAACUACAGGAAUGCACCACCAAACCCAGCUAAUUAUUUUUUUGUAGAGGUGGGGGUCUCACAAUGCUGCCCAGACUGUUCUCAAACUCCUGGCCUCAAGUGAUGUUCCUGCCCAGGCCUAAAAUUUUAAGGAGCAGGUGAUGUUUAGCCUGGAGAACUGAAGGCUCAGGAAGAACGGGGUCUUCAAACACCUGAAGGACUGUCUCAUGAAAAAGAGAUGCACAAGACAGGAGAAUUGAGCAGAGAGAUGUUUAACUCAAAUCGAAGAACAAAGACAGCAUUGAAUCACCACCUAUCAAGGGUCUUACUUGAAUAGACUUUGGUUUGGAUGAGAGGCUAUAGAAGAAAACCUCAAAAGUCUCUUCCAAUUCUAAGGUUUCAUGAUUCCAGGCAUUUGGAGAAUUAGGAAAAAUAAUCACUUAAAAAAAAAACUAUUUAGUGCCAAGCUUCCUAAAACAUCUUUAAAAUGUCCAAUAUCCAUGAAUCAUAGGGUAUUAUCCAUUUUAUUUGAAAACCAUGGAACUCUACUACUAGAACUUCAUUCUAGGUUGUUUAAAACAAAGUACAAUGCAAAACUGUCUUCUUUCAUAAGAACCAUUUUCUAGAUGGGCAUAGAUUCUUUGAGGGAAUUCUUAUCAUGCAGAUAUUUUACUUCAAAAUCUAAACUUGUACCACUUUACUGGAAUGAAAUAUUAACGCUAUUAAUUUAAACAUCAUAACAUUUUUUAAAAAUAAGGUGUUAAAAUAAUAUUUAUUCAUCAAUCCUAUACCACUACAAUAUUUUAGAUCAGUGAUUUAAUAUCUGAAAAAAUUUAUCACAUACUAUGCAUACCACUGAUCAGCAGAGGCUGAAAUUUUACUGUAACUUCAGUCCAAAGAUACAGGUUUUAAUUUGAGUUCUCCAUAAUUCACAGAAAUAUUUAAGGGUAAAUAUAAGUCUUAAUUAAAAUCCCUAUUCUCCCAGCAUGUGCUAAACCCACCCUGCUCCACAUGCAGACCCUUGGCCCCAAACAAUCCCGAGAGGAUGUUGGCUCAGAGCAGCAAGGAGCUGACAGAUGGGGCAUUCGGUAAAGGAGUGGUGCUGGGUUUUUUCAUUUUUGUUAGAGACGAAAGCUGUGGGAAAAACAUUCUCCACUUAAUCUAUUUUAUUUUCAGCAAGGUUUUACCUGUAAAUAUUAAUUUAUACACCAGCAAAACUCACUAGAUGCCUGGGCUACAUGAAUAUAAAUGAAAUAAAGCUAUCCAAACUAAAAAAUGAAAUUUCCUGUAUCUUCCUUUCUCAGGCAGAGGAAAAAUAUCCAAGGAUUUAAAAUUCUAUCCAGUGGUUUCAAAGGCAACAAAAGAUCUCACAUUGAGCUCUCAUUUAAAUAGGUGGGGUUAACCAGGGUAGAAAUUACAAGUUAAAGUGCUGCAGCAUAAAGAAGAAAAAUAAUCAUUUAUGCCAUUUUCAAUACAGAAUUUAUUUCCAAAUCAAAACCCUUUACACUUGGAAUAUUGUCAAAUCUCAAAUUUUUACCUUGCUGAGAUCUACGACCACCUUUUGAAACUGAGACAGUGUAGGUAUGAUUACUCCCUGUAUACUCAAGGGUUAGGAAAAUGGAAAAGAACCGUGAGCCCCUCAAGAAUGGUGGCUUUUCUUAUUGGAAUGAAGUAAAUAAAAUAAAUUCAUUGACAAUGCAAAAAAAAAAAAAAAA